CCUACGGGGGACAGCAGUGAGGAAUAUUGGUCAAUGGACGAGAGUCUGAACCAGCCAAGUAGCGUGAAGGAUGACUGCCCUAUGGGUUGUAAACUUCUUUUAUAUGGGAAUAAAACGUUCCACGUGUGGGAUUUUGUAUGUACCGUAUGAAUAAGGAUCGGCUAACUCCGUGCCAGCAGCCGCGGUAAUACGGAGGAUCCGAGCGUUAUCCGGAUUUAUUGGGUUUAAAGGGAGCGUAGGUGGAUUGUUAAGUCAGUUGUGAAAGUUUGCGGCUCAACCGUAAAAUUGCAGUUGAAACUGGCAGUCUUGAGUACAGUAGAGGUGGGCGGAAUUCGUGGUGUAGCGGUGAAAUGCUUAGAUAUCACGAAGAACUCCGAUUGCGAAGGCAGUUCACUGGACUGCAACUGACACUGAGGCUCGAAAGUGUGGGUAUCAAACAGGAUUAGAUACCCUGGUAGUC
rnacentral:rRNA from 1 species